rnacentral:rRNA from 1 species
CACGUAGGGCGCAAGCGUUGUCCGGAAUUAUUGGGCGUAAAGAGCUCGUAGGCGGUUUGUCGCGUCUGCUGUGAAAACUCAGGGCUUAACUCUGAGCUUGCAGUGGGUACGGGCAGACUAGAGUGCGGUAGGGGGAGACUGGAAUUCCUGGUGUAGCGGUGAAAUGCGCAGAUAUCAGGAGGAACACCGGUGGCGAAGGCGGGGUCUCUGGGCCGUAACUGACGCUGGAGGAGCGAAAGCGUCGGGGAGCGAAC